ensembl:lncRNA LINC02018 long intergenic non-protein coding RNA 2018
AGGAGGGCGAGGCCUGGGCGCCACCCGUCUGGGGCCCGAAAGGAGGGAGCUUUCCCUCUGUCCUCCAGCCUUUGGACUGUCUCCAAACAAGCCAUUCGUUCACCAAAUACUUAUUAAGCACCUACCAUGUGCCUGACAAGGGAGAUGUAACGCUGGGGAAACUGAGUUACAGAGCUUUUCUGCACUGAGUCAUCAGGAGCAAAUGCUAGAUCAGAUAGGGUCUCUCUCUCUGCCACCCAGGCCAGAGUGCAGUUGACGCAGGGCAGGGGAGCCCCGAAGUGGAGCAUAGUGUGUCCGGAACUGGUGGGUUCUUGGUCUCACUGACUUCAAGAAUGAAGCCGUGGACCCUCACGGUUCAAGCGAUUCUCCUGCCUCAGCCUCCAGAGUAGCUGGAACUACAGAUGCGCACCACCACGCCCAGGCUGUGCUUCUCAGUGGCUCCCACCAGAUACCUGAUGGUCCUGUCGAUUUGCUGAAUCAUCAACUUCCUAUUCUCUGCCUCUGGCCUGAAUCGAUGUCCCACGUUAUCUGGCUCUCUGUAACACAGAGUCACAAAGUCAAAGUCUUCCUUGGUGAACCAGUUCAUGACAGUAUCGAUGUUCGCACUCCGCUCUGUCUCGUUGCUGUUUGGAGACAGGGUUUCACCAUGUUGGCCAGGCUUGUCUUGAACUCCUGACGUCGUGAUCUGCCUGCUUUGGCCUCCCAAAGUCCUGGGAUUACAGGCAUGAGCCACCGUACCCAGCCACUCUUGAUUAACUUAAUGGAAAUAUUUACAGAGAUUCUUUCUCUUCUGGGUUCUAGCGUCUUAUCUGUAACCUCUGCAGGGGAGUCACUGAGCAGAACGAAGCGAGUUGCCUGAGAUUCUUCAAAGCCCCAGCCCUUUUGGAGGUUACAUUGUUAUUCUCAGAGCCUUUAUGAUGCAUAAUAAAGACCUAGCUUGUACCAAU